GCGGCCGGCGCCAGGCAAUGACGUAGGGCUGAGCUCUGAGUCCCAGGGAGAUGGUGCUCUGUCUAAAGAAAUCGAGCCUUGGCCCGGACGCAAAUGUUGUUCAACUUGGACGGGGUCACAUAUCUAGCAACUCUCUUUAAGCACGGAGUGUGAAGUAAAUAUGGACAUUCAAUACCAGAAGCGACACUUAAGCCGCGACACAUCGACAAACAACCGAGGGAGAAGAGAAGCGCCAGCGUUCUCAACGCAAUCUCGUCGCCCGCGAUCACUUACAAAAUAAAACGAAUACUAUCU